AAAGUCGUAACAAGGUUUCCGUAGGUGAACCUGCGGAAGGAUCAUUAUUGAAUGAAUGUAGAGUUGUGUUGUCGCUGGCUGGAUCGGAUUAAUUUCUGUUUCAGCAUGUGCACGCCUUCUCUUUCAUCCACACACACCUGUGCACUUGUGAGACUGGGGACUGUAAAAAGUCUUCAGUCUACUUAAUAUACAAACUCCAUUUAAUUAAACUGAAUGUAAUUGAUGUAACACAUCAUUAGAACUAAGUUUCAACAACGGAUCUCUUGGCUCUC
rnacentral:misc_RNA from 1 species